UCUAUCGCUACGACGCGGGCACCCGAGAAGCUGCAAAACACAAACGGGGUGGGGGGGGACAGGGGAGAGAGAGGGAGAGAAACAGAGCAGGUUAGCAGCCACCGAUGCAUUAAAACCGGGAUGGGGGGGCCGCCCUGGCACGAAAGGCAGCUGCAGCACACACAAAUAGCCCCCUCCCUCCGCUUCUCUCUCCCACUGAACCAAGAAGAUGGCAGCGGAAUUACAUAAUGUGGGGGCACGGCAGCGGUCCCGCUUUGGCCGCCCCACGGACAAAAGAGGGGGCCACCUGCACUGCCGCAAAGAUGCCUGCAACGCGCGGGGUGGGGGGAGCGAGAUCUACACCGCCAUCAAACACCCCCCCCAACACACACACACUCACCCCGCCCUGCAUGCCAGCCAGCGCCUCGGAAAACAAAUGUCUCCGACCUGCCUCUAUUUACCUACUGUCGAGCCUCAGGGCAGAGCUGUCGGUGCCCAGCAGGGAUGACAAGAAGGAAAUGGAGAAGUGCCUGAGCUGGUAGACUCCUAGAUCCAUUGCCACCUGCCUCCUACACCAUUGGGCAAUCAUGCAACGGCAGAACAGCACGAGAAAAAAAGAAUCCAGAGCACAGGAAAUCCUCCGCUGGGCUUCUGUACGUCCGCAGAAGAGAAAGCAGCAAACAAAAGAGGCGGGUGGCUCGAGGGCGAUAAACGGCAAGGCGGACGCGGGAGAUGCUGCGGGUGCCGCCGCCGCCGCCGCCGCCGCUGCUGCGCAAAAUCGAUCUCGAUUUUCUCCCUCCCUCCCUCCUUCCCCUGCAAAGCUUGCCUGCCUGCCUGCUCCGCCGACCAACAACCUGGCGGGAGCUCCAACCUUCUUGCAUAAUGUAUGCAAAAAGAGAGAGCGCCCAUUGGCUGCCGGGCGUCUCUCCACGCCCCCGCCUGAUUGCCUCAGCAGCCCCGGCUGGAACCAUCAAAUGCCAGUUUGGGCAGGAGCCAAGCGGGCUGUGUAUUUUGUGAUAUCGACAGUGAGCUCCCCAUCCUGAUGGGCUGGCGUCGGUGGUAACCUGUAUUGAGAACUGCAGAGGUCGAAAGGGUCUGCCUAGCAUCAAAUGAGGAAGAAACGUCCACCAGGUGAAUGGAAGAAAAGCUUUAAUUUCUUAAUAAACAGAAGCCGCUUAAGCGAAGUGACAACUUAGGCCAUCUGCUUUGGCUCAAUCCCAAUGAUCACAGGUGCAAAAUGAAGCAAAAUGGAGCAAGCCUACCUGCACCCAAAAAAAAGAAAGAAAAAAAGAAAGAAAAGGGAAAAAAGAAAAAAAAGAAAGAAAGAAAAGAAAACAGUAGCUCUCACAGAAUCCAAAAAAGUCGAGGUAAGCAUAGAGAAGAUAUGAGCUGGUUUACAACUGCCCUUACAUCAUGUGCUUGCUGGGAAAAGGAGUGAACCAAUCCAUCUCCACGGGACAAAAUCCUGUCUGAUAACGCCCUCAGCUACAAAUGAUCCUCUUGAUGCUGAUAAAGCUGAUUUUAACCAAACCAAAAGCUGCUGAGCAGCUGAAGCACAGUCUCUUUCACUUACAGCACUGAGACUGCAGGGAAGAAGUUCCCAAUUCAAAUACCACUUCAGAUUUCAGGCAAGCUGAAUUUCCUCCAGCUCACUUCCUUCUCACAUUCCCAACAGAAGAAUGGGAUAAUAUUGACUUCAAUGACUAUGGUACAGAUUAAAAUAAUGUAGCAUGCAUCUGGUACUUUGAACAAAUGAAAGUACUAUACAAAUGCUGGGAUAUUAAACAGCUUUUGCUUUACAAGCCUUCUUUCAAUGAAGUACUUUUUUCAAAAACUGCAUACAAAGCAAGGAGAGUGAUUAAAUGGACUCCAGCGUCUUGCAGCCCUCCCAAAGUGAGUGUUCUAGACAUAGAGUUGACCACUCUUUUUCCUACAGGCAUGAACUGGAAGUAUGCAAUUUGCCUAAGCUUGCAUAGAUAGGCUGGCCCUUCUCCUAGGAGGCACAGUGAAGAAACAAAAUUCUAAC